rnacentral:snRNA from 1 species
UUCUCUUUGGAGACAUGUGAUAAAAUUUGAAUGGUACAGAGAAGAUUAGCAUGGCCCUUGCACAAGGAUGACACACAAAUCGAGAAAUUGUCCAAAUUCUC